UAACGAAUAUUGGGCAAUGGGCGAAAGCCUGACCCAGCAAUGCCGCGUGCAGGACGAAGUCCUUCGGGAUGUAAACUGCUGUCAGGGGUCCGCAAGCGAAGGGGUCCAACAGGCCCUGGAGUUGAGCAGCCCCAGAGGAAGCCUCGACUAACUCUGUGCCAGCAGUCGCGGUAAGACAGAGGAGGCAAGCGUUGUUCGGAAUCACUGGGCUUAAGGCGCGUGUAGGCGGCUUAGAAAGUGUCGUGUGAAAUCCCGCGGCUCAACCGCGGAACUGCACGGCAAACUACUUGGCUUGAGGUCGGUAGAGGUGCCUGGAACUCUAGGUGGAGCGGUGAAAUGCGUAGAUAUCUGGAGGAACACCGGUGGCGAAAGCGGCUUUCUGGCACGAUACUGACGCUGAGGCUCGAAAGCGUGGGGAGCAAACA
rnacentral:rRNA from 1 species